rnacentral:ncRNA from 1 species
UAAGACGAGAAGACCCUGUGGAACUUAAAAAUCAAUGGCCAUCAUACACACAUAAAUCCCUACGAGGCAUAUGCUAUUAGCCGCUGGCCCACAUUUUUCGGUUGGGGCGACCUUGGAGAAAAAUAAAUCCUCCAAAGAUAAGACCUAUUAUCUUAACCAAGAACAACCCCUCAACGUACUAACAGGAACCAGACCCAAUAUAUUUGAUCAAUGGACCAAGCUACCCCAGGGAUAACAGCGCAAUCUCCUCCAAGAGCCCCUAUCGACGAGGAGGUUUACG